AGAACUGCAGAUAGUACGGUGGAGCAGGGAUGCCUGAGCACAAGUAGCGAGUUCCGAGUGACUUUAGGAAAUGCUUCCCCCCCUUCCUGGGCAUGCAAACAAGACUCUGCACCUGCACCGCAGUUUGUUCCGGAGAGAAGCCUCGGCUUCGCCCUGCAGGGACGAGGAACUAGAGCAAGAAGCAGCAUUUGAAAAUUGAACGGCUCUGAGAAUUGCAGAGACAAAACCAAUUGAUGUUCCCGGCAAGCUACCCUUGGGAGGAUUGAGUUCUCACACUACUCUUCACCCCUAUACCAACCAACUUCCUAAUCUCUUCAUCAAAUGCAGCAUAGCCUUUACAUGCACUCUUCCCUUCUAUACAUCGACAGGAUGUCCCAGUAAAACUGUCUAAUGUGGACGCUUAAAUAAUAGAAUAUGGGGAAAUAUCUAGGAAAAUACCCCAUCAUAUAAAAAACUACUUGAGAUUCA
rnacentral:lncRNA from 1 species